UUAACACAUGCAAGUCAAGGGGGCCCAGCAAUGGGCAACCGGCGAACGGGUGCGUAACACGUGAGCAACCUACCGAACUGUGGGGGAUAGCCGGCCUAACGGCCGAGUAAUACCGCAUACGCUCUCAGAGAGGCAUUUCUUUGAGAGGAAACCUACGGGACAGAUCGAGGGGCUCGCGGCCUAUCAGCUAGUUGGCGAGGUAACGGCUCACCAAGGCAACGACGGGUAGCUGGUCUGAGAGGAUGGCCAGCCACAUUGGGACUGAGAUACGGCCCAGACUCCUACGGGAGGCAGCAGUGGGGAAUCUUGCGCAAUGGCCUAACGGCUGACGCAGCGACGCCGCGUGUGGGAUGAAGCUCUUCGGAGUGUAAACCACUGUUGCCCGGGACGAAUAGCUCGAUUAAUCGAGCCUGACGGUACCGGGUGAGGAAGCACCGGCUAACUCCGUGCCAGCAGCCGCGGUAAUACGGGGGGUGCGAGCGUUGUCCGGAAUCACUGGGCGUAAAGGGCGCGUAGGUGGUUUGAUAAGGGUGUGGUGAAAGUCCGGGGCUCAACCCCGGAUCUGCCGUGCCGACUGUCAAACUCGAGGACUGUAGAGGCAGACGGAAUUCCGGGUGUAGCGGUGGAAUGCGUAGAGAUCCGGAGGAAGACCGGUGGCGAAGGCGGUCUGCUGGGCAGUUUCUGACACUGAGGCGCGACA
rnacentral:rRNA from 1 species